rnacentral:rRNA from 1 species
CAGUAGCCGCGGUAAUACGAGGGGGGCAAGCGUUGUUCGGAAUUAUUGGGCGUAAAGGGCGCGUAGGCGGUUUGACAAGUCUUGUGUGAAAUCUCUGGGCUCAACCCAGAGUCUGCACGGGAAACUGUCGGGCUAGAGGAUGGGAGAGGUGAGUGGAAUUUCCGGUGUAGCGGUGAAAUGCGUAGAUAUCGGAAGGAACACCUGUGGCGAAAGCGGCUCACUGGACCAUUACUGACGCUGAGGCGCGAAAGCUAGGGGAGCAAACAGGAUUAGAUACCCCUGUAGUCCUGUCUCUUAUACA